rnacentral:lncRNA from 1 species
AGUCUUCUCUGCAGACACCAGCCUGGUGUCCUCCUUCAUCCCAGGCUGCCAGGCUAGGCAGGGGGCAGCGGCUGCCCUGGUCCUCACAGCCCUGGCUGCGGGGCUGGUGACAGCCAGAUCCUCAUGCUUCUGUGACCAGAGCGCUGCCUUCAGACACCUCUCUGCUGGCGUGUUCCUGGGUCCAUGAUGGAAGAAGGAAAAGUAUUUUUAAAAGACAAUCUAAAGCUCACACUGUGACUGCAACAUAAAAUGUGUUCACCUGAGGAGACUGCUUUCACCGUGAGUGUGUCACAGGUCUCUGAUGGUUCUGGUUUCCUGGGCACCUAGAAUAAGUGUGUCAUCAUUUGUUCUGAAGCUGACUUCUCUGAGCUGGAUGGCACCCUGGACAUCAACCAGCCCUUCACCUUCACGUCACACAGGAGGGACACUGGUCCACAGAGAGGAUGCCUGCUCUGGUCACCAGCUGGAGAGUGGCAGACCUUGGGUACCUGACCUUUGGACUCUGCCACGCAGAGCACUUCCUCAGUCCCUCCUGCUGCCCCUGGCAGGGUGGAGCUGGCAGGGCAGCUGAUCCAGGACCGUCCACUUCCAAGCCAGCAGGAGGAUGGAAAAACAGAAUGGAGGGGAAACAACCUCCUUUGCAGGGCGUGACUCGGAAGUUGGACACAUCAUUUCCAGCCACAUUCCAUGGACCAGAAUUAGCCCUGUGACCAACUCUGGCUGCCAGAAAGUCUGGGAAAUACAGUCUCUGCUUGGGCGAUCAGGCAGGCAGUCAUAUCUUUGGGAACAUCUCUCACACCCUGGGAACACCUGAGCAGAAACUGAAGGACAUUUAACAGAUUCUCCUCUGUGUCUAAUAAGAAUUGCCCCCAUCAGUCAGGGCUCUCCUAGGUGCUGGGUACAUAGGUCAUCUAUAAACAACCCAGCAAUGGAGAGCACACCAUUCCCAGGCUGCAGAUGCAGAAACUGUGGCUCGGAGAGUUAAGCGUCUUGUUCAGAUUCAGUCAGCUGGUAGAUGGCAGGUCUGGGAUUGAGACCCAGGCCUGGCUGGUCCUGCCAGGACACAGUAUCACAGCUUUGACUGGGGGCUUCUUUUUGUU